rnacentral:rRNA from 1 species
GUGGGCGCUGGAGAAUUGAGGGGGGCUGCUCCUAGUACGAGAGGACCGGAGUGGACGCAUCACUGGUGUUCGGGUUGUCAUGCCAAUGGCACUGCCCGGUAGCUAAAUGCGGAAGAGAUAAGUGCUGAAAGCAUCUAAGCACGAAACUUGCCCCGAGAUGAGUUCUCCCUGAGACUUUAAGUCUCCUGAAGGAACGUUAAAGACGAUGACGUUGAUAGGCCGGGUGUGUAAGCGCAGCGAUGCGUUGAGCUAACCGGUACUAAUGAACCGUGAGGCUUAACCUUAC